GACGAACGCUGGCGGUGUGCUUAACACAUGCAAGUCGAACGGUAAGGCCCUUUCGGGGGUACACGAGUGGCGAACGGGUGAGUAACACGUGGGUGAUCUGCCCUGCACUCUGGGAUAAGCCUGGGAAACUGGGUCUACUACCGGAUAUACCUUGCUGGUCGCAUGGCCUGGUGAGGGAAAGCGUUUGCGGUGUGGGAUGGGCCCGCGGCCGAUCAGCUUGUUGGUGGGGUGAUGGCCUACCACGGCGACGACGGGUAGCCGGCUCUGAGAGGGUGUCCGGCCACACUGGGACUGAGAUACGGCCCAGACUCCUACGGGAGGCAGCAGUGGGGAAUAUUGCACAAUGGGCGCAAGCCUGAUGCAGCGACGCCGCGUGAGGGAUGACGGCCUUCGGGUUGUAAACCUCUUUCAAUAGGGGCGAAGCGCAAGUGACGGUACCUAUAGAAGAAGCACCGGCCAACUACGUGCCAGCCGCCGCAGUAAGAC
rnacentral:rRNA from 1 species